UUUUGUCUUUUUAGUGUGUGUGUGUGUGUGUGUAUGAGACUUUUAUAUUCCAACAUCUCUUGUUAAAUCUCAUUAAAUGUCGAAGUCAUCUGAAGGCAGACGUCUGAACUUACUGUAAAGAUCAAAAUAACAGGCCUUCGAGGUGUUUCCCGUGACGUGACGUUCUGUAUAUUUCUCUGGUGUCCAGGUCUCAACACCGCAGAGGAAAUGAAGGCCGUAAUGAGCGAUCUGUUUAACAGUCUGUCAUCAGAUCUGGAAUCAGCGGCCGUGAACCCGUCACCUUCACGUCUACAGCAAACGCUCAAGCAGAAAUCGUGUGUUGACUGAGAAUGCAUGACAUAUGAACCUAGUCCUCAAACAGCAAGAAGAACCACAGCAAUUGUAAGGAUCUUGAAUUACAGCAUGAGGAGGGUUGUUAAAACAAAAGCUGAGCGUCACAUCAGAAAGACUCGCUCACAGCAGCGUCCCUGUGCCAGGUGAACAGAAUGGGUUUGUGUCGGUCUGCCAGCCUCCUCACCGUUGCACAGAAAGCAACAGAAUGCUGCAGAGUCUGCUGUGAUGAUUAGCACUGCGUCUCACACCGGCUUCAGAUCGCCGCAGACGUGACAGGUACACUGACGCAACCUCAAACUCAUUUGCUUUACUGCUUCAUUAAAAUCAAGCUGGAGGUGUGGUGUUUUAAUAUCGUUUACCAGCUGUUUUCUUGUAAGCAGUGUUGGAAAUCUGCAUUGAAACGCACUGUACCUUGUCUGCUCAUAAUAGCAACAAGCUACUCGUAAUUAGGUUUUAAAUUCUUACGAAAAAUAGUUUGCUGCAGUGUGAGUUACUAACAAAACAUAGCUACGUAUUUUUAAGCUACACUGAAAUGUUUUAAUUUAAUUCGUUUAAGUUUGCGAGGAGUUAGCAGUUGGAUUUACGUUGAAACAGAUUUCUCUCAGAAAUUGUUAGUUAAUUUCACUAAUAUUUACAAAGAAUCAGCAAAUAACACUGAAUUAAACAAGAAGUUUUGUAGUAGGAAAACUGAAAUAAUAUUUUAUUAUAAAAUGUACUCCAGUAAUAUUUGUUUUGCUUACAACUUCCAAAAAAAAAAAAAAUUUUUUUUUUUAUUUUUUAUUUUUUACAUUAUACUCUAGACAAUAUCUUUUCAAAUAGGUCACUUUUUAUUUCGAAUUUAUUCAGAGCCAUACUUUCUGGCACAAAAAAAUGAAUGAUUUUGAAUUAAGAAAUCUCAUUAAACUUGAGCAGAUCAAUUUAACUAAAUUGCGUAAAAUAGUAAUUAAGAAAAACAACUAAAAUGCAGCUUUUAAGUGAAUAUUUGCUUUAAAACGCUGUAAAAGUGGCACACAUAGAACUGAAUCAGUGAAUCGUUCAUUGACAUGAAUCAUCCAAAUGAACUGAUUCAUUGAACUGGUGACAGCAAUAAACUUGAGCAGAUAAAUUAAACUAAAUUAAAAACUAAAACAAUUAGAAUAUGGUCUGUUUUCUGAAAGCAAG
rnacentral:lncRNA from 12 species